rnacentral:ncRNA from 2 species
CGAUGGGGUAGAGGCGCAAAAAGGAAAAGUACGUUUCAUGGAGUGAGUAGGCACGAUGAUAGAAACGGAAAGGCCGAUUUGCCGAAGUGUGAACAAAUACCUAUUAUUUGCUCAUGCUGGGUCGUUGUUGAAUAAAUAACGGACUGUCACUGCUUUAAGCAGUGGAGCACUAUUCCGGCA